GAGUUUGAUCCUGGCUCAGAUUGAACGCUGGCGGCGUGCCUAACACAUGCAAGUCGAGCGGUAACAGGUGUAGCAAUACAUGCUGACGAGCGGCGGACGGGUGAGCAAUGUUUGGGAAUCUGCCUAUUAGUGGGGGACAACCCGGGGAAACUCGGGCUAAUACCGCAUACGCACUACGGUGGAAAGCCGGGGACCGCAAGGCCUGGCGCUAAUAGAUGAGCCCAAAUCGGAUUAGCUAGUUGGUGGGGUAACGGCCUACCAAGGCGACGAUCCGUAGCUGGUCUGAGAGGACGACCAGCCACACCGGAACUGAGACACGGUCCGGACUCCUACGGGAGGCAGCAGUGGGGAAUAUUGGACAAUGGGCGAAAGCCUGAUCCAGCGACGCCGCGUGGGUGAAGAAGGCCUGCGGGUUGUAAAGCCCUUUCGGUGGGGAAGAAAAGCCUCGUUUUAAUACAACGGGGUCUUGACGUAACCCAAGAAAGAAGCACCGGCUAACUCUGUGCCAGCCGCCGCAGUAAG
rnacentral:rRNA from 1 species